GCUUUCUUCUUUCGCUCUUUGCGACAAAUUUUGCUGCUGCUCACGUUUUAGGUCCACGCUACCUUUAUGAGCUGUAACACUCACAGUGAAGGUCUGCAGCUUUACUCCUGUAAACCAGCGAGACCAGGAACCCACCAUAAGAAACAACUCUGGAGCCGCCACCUUUAAGAGCCAUGACACUCACUGUGAAGGUCUGCAGCUUCACUCCUGAAGUCAGCAAGACCACGAACCCACCGGGAGGAGCAAGCAGCUCCGGACGCAGCACCUUUAAGAGCUGUAACACUCCCUGCGAAGGUCUGUGGCUUCACUCAUGAAGUCGUGCAUAGACCACGAACCCACUAGAAGGAAGAAACUCCGGACACACUAUCUUUAAGAACUGUAACACCAUGAGGGUCUGCGGCUUGAUUGUUGAAGUCAGCAGGACCGGGACCAGGAACCCAUCGGAGGGAACCAGUUCCUGACACACAGCCUCGUGGAAUGGCUCUGCACUGUGUGUGUGUGUGUUUCCCGUCAACCCUGUGCACAAUACUAAAAGAACACAAGCGUUAAGGCUCCCUUUCAGAUCUACCGAUGCAAGACAUUGUGAUUUUGACCUCGUUGGAUGCUGCACCUAAAGGUGGAUGGAAGAGGAAGAGCCUUGGGGGCUACCAUUCUGGCUGGAGAAGCGGCACCAGGUUCCCUCUUGUGGAUGCAGCAAGGUCUAGGAAAUGGAGGUACAGUGAGAUAAAAUAAGUUGCCCAAAGCCAUAUGGCGAUUAAGACUUGAACUCUAAAAGGGUUUUAUUUUUAAUUCUAUUUAAUUAACUUACUUUUUUGAGACAGGGUCUUGCUGUGUUGCCCAGGCUGGUGUGCAGUGGUGCAGUCACAACUCACUGCAGCCUCUACCUCCUGAGCUCAAGGGAUCCUCCCAUCUCAGCCUCCCAAGUAGCUUGGACCACAGGAAGGUGCCACCACGCCAGGCUAAUUUUUUAUUUUUUAGUAGAGAUGGGGGUCUCACUGUGUUGCCGAGGCUGGUCUUGAACUCCUGGGCUCAGGCAGUUCUUCUAUCUCAGCCUCCCAAAGUGCUGAGGUUACAGGCUUGAGCUACUGUGCCCGACCUGUUUUGUUAAUCUCUAAGUGCCCUGCAUCUGCUCUAAGGAGUGUGGCGUAGUCCUUGAUAUUGGAUAACUGAGUAACGCAGGUAGUUUGUAUGAGAAGUGCAGUAACCACAUGGUGAAUGGAAGAUGAUGCUGUAGACUUGCCCGUGGUUCACAACUGGGACACUGUGGUUACCAGGACAUAGCUUCCAGAAUGGCUGACUAAAACUAGAAAAUGCAGACUCCACUGGGUCUUUGUGUUUCUGUUUUUUAAACGGGAAAAUUAAUUCUGCCAUUUACCUUCAAAGAGUUAGUGGGAGUGGCAUAAAAUUGUUGAUAAAAAUCUUUGGAAGUCUCAGUGAGGGGAUCUGCUAGCAUUGAUGAAAUUAUUUCAUUCGUGAACAGUCUAAGGGCCAAGGGAAGAGAAGAGUGACAUAGAAUCUCCUUUCCUUGAGAUCUUAGAAUCACGCCUGCCUCCUUACCUCCAUCCAGGACUGUUAAAAAACUCCCAAAGCAGGGACUUUUAGGCCCACAAGUACUUAGCCUCCUCUUCCCACCUCCUGUUCAUCUCCGUUUCCAAUGUUCCACUGCCAUCACUGCCAGGAAGUUCUGCAGAGAAGAAUGAGGAAGAACCGUAUGAUCCUAAACAUGUUCUCUGAAGAUACUAUCAACCCGCCAUUGGCCUUAUUUACUGGAAUGUUUUUAUAACUUUUAUUUGACACCUCUUCCCGUCGUUUAAAAUUAAUCUGGUGCUUCCCUGCAUAA